AGUUGGUGAGGUAAGGGCUCACCAAGGCGACGAUCCCUAGCUGGUCUGAGAGGAUGAUCAGCCACACUGGAACUGAGACACGGUCCAGACUCCUACGGGAGGCAGCAGUGGGGAAUAUUGCACAAUGGGCGCAAGCCUGAUGCAGCCAUGCCGCGUGUGUGAAGAAGGCCUUCGGGUUGUAAAGCACUUUCAGUCGUGAGGAAGG
rnacentral:rRNA from 1 species